rnacentral:lncRNA from 10 species
CACUUUGGACUUUGGAGUUUUGAGCCCUCUUACAGACUGCAGAAUUACCAUCCACAGUGUACAUUGGAUGAGAAUGUGUCACCACCAUGCUUAGAACCACUCCUAUCACUGACAGGUCAAUAUCUGAGCUCCUUGGCACAACACACAUGUCCAGGGAGUGGCCAGUAAUUAGUUGUGCCUGGAGUAUUGAGAGCAUCAGUGGCCGGGAACAUCAGGCAAGAUGUGAUGUUUUAAAGAGCCUUGAAUGCCAUGCUAAGGACUUGGAACUGCAUUGCACAGCCCAUGGGGAGCUCUGGAAGGUUUAAAGCAGAGAAGAACCUUGCCUUGUCUAAAUUCUGUAAGUCUCAGCACUCUGCUUCCUUCAUAGCACUUGUAAUUAUUUCAUUGACUUGUUUAUUUUUUCCAUAUUUUCCACUAAAUGUCAAGCUAUGAGCAGAAAUAAAUUAUGUCUAUUUUGUUCACAUUUACUUCUCAACUACCCUGUAAGUCCCUGAAACAUAGUAUGAAUUCCAUAAAAGGUAAUUGAAUACAUGAGUAAAUGAAGGAUGAAUGCAGGAAUUGGAUAAGUAGAAUCAACACAAAAUUAACCAUGGGUUUCAUUCAACACAUACCUCACCACUCCUGCAUGUAUAUAAGAUUCUUCUGAAAUACAUCAAAAUAAAAUGCAAAUUAUAUUGAAGCUUGGAUGCAACAGAAUACAGCAGCAAUGACUGGACCUGAAUGAUGUGCAUCUUAUUGAGUAGUGCACAGGGCAGAGCAGACAUUAGCAAGUAAUUAGAGGCAUAAGACCUUCACAAGUGCACAUAUGCCAUAAUUAAUGGAAAAAUCUGCUCAUUUUUACUGGGGGCAUAAAUGCCAGGAUUUGGUGUUCAACUCCACCUAUAAGCAUGUAAGAUAAAGAGAGCUUACAGUCUUUAUUAAGGUCUUCUUUCUUUGAAUUCAAAUAAAUCAAGUUAUUUAUUAAUUCAGACAUACACUGAAAUGUUAUUGGGGUCUUCUCUGAGUAGUGAGAUUUUCUCAAUUGUCCAAAAUUUUAAUAGUAAGCAUGUUUUACUUUAAAAAUUAGAAAAACAAUAAAGACUUAAGAAAUGAUUCUUGAGAAUCAAUUUAUAAUGCAUUGUUUGAAGCCCUA